rnacentral:pre_miRNA from 1 species
UCUGUUGUAACGUGCUUCUUUGCAUCGCCAUACGUAAGUCAGAGAUAUGGAAUGUAAAGAAGUAUGUAGCUCCGGA